AUAUAUAUAUAUAUAUAUAUAUACUGAGAAACUGACAAGAUAGCUAUAUAUAUUUAUAUAUAAUAUAUAUAUUUCUCACUACAUUAUCCAUGACUUACAUGGAUAAUUAUACUGGCAGUAUAAUAAGCUCAUAGCAGUCACUAAAUUUUGGAAUCAGGUAGCUAGCUUGGUCAGCUGCUUACUCAGUUUUCCAUUUGAAGAUUUAAAGGGGCAGUAUUAUGUAAAAUCGAUUUUUCUGAACUUACAUUGUGUUAUCAUGUUAUUCCCUCAUCAAAAAACACUCCCGGAGUGUUUGCCUUUUCUCUUUCAAGCAUGUUUGAGAAAUACUUUAAUCUCCAGUGGCAACCAUUCAGCUGAGGGAAACGCCUGGGUGGACCUAGCCCCGCCUUCGAGAACAAAGCUCCUCCUUGGAACUGAAGCUUCCAAGCUUCCACCCACACAGAGCAGCCCUCCUUCACGACUCCCCCACUCAGCUCCUUCAGACUAGCCAGCAUCAAUUAGUCCUCGAGAUUUCUGCAAGAGAGAGAGAGAGAUGUUAGCAACGGGAGACGUUCGGGAGAUCCAGGAGGAGCUCAGAGGAGGCCUGCUGCUCGGCCGCGUUGAGAGGAGCCAGAGGAGGCGGCGCAGUCACCCAGGAAGGAAGCCUCCGGUGUGACUCCAUUAAAGGUCUACCGGGCCUGACCUCCUGGGCACAUGAUUAUGGAGGAGGCUGGAUGGGAUCUGCGAGCUGGAGCAAGUGAUCAAGGUCAAACAUCCUAACAGGAAACAGAAAAUGAGUGAUGGUGCAACCAGAAGUUGACAUACACCAAAUGAAAAGAAACAGAGAUCUGAUUUUUUUUUUUUAAAUCUUUAUCUCUGUUUGAAGUCAAUCAGACCAACUUCCUUUUGUUUUAGGUCGGUUAGAAACACCAAAAUCCUCCUAUUUGCUAGACGUCACAAAGGGAGAAAUAAUAUGUCAAGAGAUUUGUCAGUUAUACGUCUAUUAAUGUUUUGACAAAGAAAAGGUUUACAUUCAGAAUGAUCACUGUCUCUUUAAGCCGUGACGGAAAGCCCAAAUGACGUCAAGUAACACGAUAACCAAUUAUGUUGAGAACAAAAGACAAGCAACAAAGAUUUUCGGAUGCCAUCAUCGAAAUCACCAAAAGCAAUCAUCACCAAAUAUUAGCAUGAAUACUAGCAUGAAUCAAUGUUCCUGUUGUUGUCGUCAAUCAAAGGCCGUUCUAAACAUUUUGAGGGGAUGUAGCUUCAGUGUUCCAGCAUCUCUGCAGUUUUCUGGAAGUUUCUCCUAGAUUUGUGGAGCACAAAAACUGAAUGAUGCUUCUGAUCUCAUGGCGUUGGAAAGGUCUGAUAAGGUUUACUGACACACGCGAGUGAACUGGAGGCAUGUCUGUGGACGCAUUUUAAGGUUCACUGCUCUCUUUGUUCGACACAUUUGGAAAGUCAAAGAAAAGCGGCCAGGAUAUCAGGAAGUAAACUGUGGAGCUGCACAGGUGUGGUUCAUCCUUGGGAACAAUUUCCAGAUGCUUGAAGGUGCCGCUUUCAUCUGUUUAAACAACUAUAAGUAAGAAUAGAUGAGAAUGUCCAAACAUGUCAGGACGGAGACAGGUUCUGUGUGUUGGUCCAAAACGUGGCAACCGGCCACAGAACAAAAUGCAAAACUCUUGUGACGAUGCUGCUGAAGCAUCGUCACAAGAGUGAGCAUAUGUUGCUCUUAUUGUUGGUAAGAGCCACAUACGCAAAACUUUGUCGAUAUUCGAUUAAUGUAAAAAAAAAAAAAA